AAUUCGAUGCAACGCGAAAAACCUUUACCUAACCGUUUGACAUGUACGGAACUCGCCAGAGAUGGCUUGGUGCUCGAAAGAGAACCGUUAGCACAGGUGCUGCGUGGCUGUCGUCAGCUCGUGUCGUGAGAUGCUGGGUUAAGUCCCGCAACGAGCGCAACCCUUGUCAUUAGUUGCUACAUUUAGUUGGGCACUCUAAUGAGACUGCCGGUGACAAACCGGAGGAAGGUGGGGAUGACGUCAAGUCCUCAUGGCCCUUAUAGGUGGGGCUACACACGUCAUACAAUGGCCGGUACAGAGGGUAGCCAACCCGCAGGGGGAGCCAAUCCCACAAAGCCAUUCGUAGUCCGGAUCGCAGUCUGCAACUCGACUGCGUGAAGUCGGAAUCGCUAGUAAUCGUGGAUCGGCAUGUCACGGUGAAUACGUUCCCGGGUCUU
rnacentral:rRNA from 1 species